AUAAAAAUGGAGAGAAGCUACUCUCAGGCUGCAAGCAGCAACAGUCCCCAGGGCUCUGAUGUGUCUCUCAUGGCUUGUAAAGCGUGAGACAGCUGCCUUGUGUGAGACUAAGAGGCAAGAUUUAUCCACACCUUCAAUUUGGGACUUCAAGAACACUGACUUCUCUUACUGCAAAGGAUAUGAAUGUGUCUGUGUCUCAAUAGGCAUAAUGUGA